CCCAGACUCCUACGGGAGGCAGCAGUGGGGGAUAUUGCACAAUGGGGGGAACCCUGAUGCAGCGACGCCGCGUGGGUGAAGGAGCGUUUCGGCGCGUAAAGCCCUAUCGGCAGGGAAGAAGGAGGACGGUACCUGACUAAGAAGCCCCGGCUAACUACGUGCCAGCAGCCGCGGUAAUACGUAGGGGGCAAGCGUUAUCCGGAUUUACUGGGUGUAAAGGGGGCGCAGACGGCAGCGCAAGCCAGGAGUGAAAGCCCGGGGCCCAACCCCGGGACUGCUCUUGGAACUGCGCGGCUGGAGUGCAGGAGGGGCAGGCGGAAUUCCUGGUGUAGCGGUGAAAUGCGUAGAUAUCAGGAGGAACACCGGUGGCGAAGGCGGCCUGCUGGACUGCGACUGACGUUGAGGCCCGAAAGCGUGGGGAGCAAACAGGGUUAGAUACCCCUGUA
rnacentral:rRNA from 1 species